rnacentral:rRNA from 1 species
AGUGAACGCUGGCGGUAGGCCUAACACAUGCAAGUCGAACGGCAGCACAGUAAGAGCUUGCUCUUACGGGUGGCGAGUGGCGGACGGGUGAGGAAUACAUCGGAAUCUACUUUUUCGUGGGGGAUAACGUAGGGAAACGUACGCUAAUACCGCAUACGACCUACGGGUGAAAGCAGGGGAUCUUCGGACCUUGCGCGAUUGAAUGAGCCGAUGUCGGAUUAGCUAGUUGGCGGGGUAAAGGCCCACCAAGGCGACGAUCCGUAGCUGGUCUGAGAGGAUGAUCAGCCACACUGGAACUGAGACACGGUCCAGACUCCUACGGGAGGCAGCAGUGGGGAAUAUUGGACAAUGGGCGCAAGCCUGAUCCAGCCAUACCGCGUGGGUGAAGAAGGCCUUCGGGUUGUAAAGCCCUUUUGUUGGGAAAUAAAAGCAGCAGGUUAAUACCCCGCUGUUCUGACGGUACCCAAAGAAUAAGCACCGGUUAACUUCGG